GAGUUUGAUCAUGGCUCAGAACGAACGCUGGCGGCAGGCUUAACACAUGCAAGUCGAACGACAUAGUGGCAGACGGGUGAGUAACGCGUGGGAACGUGCCUUUCACUACGGAAUAGCUCUUGGAAACGAGUGGUAAUACCGUAUACGCCCUCCGGGGGAAAGAUUUAUCGGUGAAAGAUCGGCCCGCGUUAGAUUAGUUUGUUGGUGGGGUAAUGGCCUACCAAGACUACGAUCUAUAGCUGGUCUGAGAGGAUGAUCAGCCACACUGGGACUGAGACACGGCCCAGACUCCUACGGGAGGCAGCAGUGGGGAAUCUUGCACAAUGGGCGAAAGCCUGAUGCAGCCAUGCCGCGUGAAUGAUGAAGGCCUUAGGGUUGUAAAAUUCUUUCGCUAGGGAUGAUAAUGACAGUACCUAGUAAAGAAGCCCCGGCUAACUUCGUGCCAGCAGCCGCGGUAAUACGAAGGGGGCUAGCGUUGUUCGGAAUUACUGGGCGUAAAGCGCGCGUAGGCGGGCUAUUAAGCCAGAUGUGAAAGCCCGGAGCUCAACUCCGGAACUGCAUUUGGAACUGGUAGCCUAGAGACCAGGAGAGGUUAGCGGAAUACCGAGUGUAGAGGUGAAAUUCGUAGAUAUUCGGUGGAACACCAGUGGCGAAGGCGGCUAACUGGACUGGUACUGACGCUGAGGCGCGAAAGUGUGGGGAGCAAACAGGAUUAGAUACCCUGGUAGUCCACACCG
rnacentral:rRNA from 1 species